rnacentral:rRNA from 1 species
CCUACGGGUGGCUGCAGUGAGGAAUAUUGGUCAAUGGGCUUACGCCUGAACCAGCCAAGUCGCGUGUGGGAAGACUGCCCUAUGGGUUGUAAACCUCUUUUGUCAGGGAGCAACGCCGGCCACGUGUAGCCGGUCUGAGAGUACCUGAGAAAAAAGCAUCGGCUAACUCCGUCCCAGCAGCAGCGUUAAUACGGAGGAUGCGAGCUUUAGCCGGAUUUAUUGGGUUUAAAGGGUGCGUAGGCGGUAUGCCAAGUCAGCGGUAAAAUCGCGGGGCUCAACCUCUCUCCGCCGUUGAAACUGGCGUUCUUGAGUGGGCGAGAAGUAUGCGGAAUGCGUGGUGUAGCGGUGAAAUGCAUAGAUAUCACGCAGAACUCCGAUUGCGAAGGCAGCAUACCGGCGCCCAACUGACGCUGAAGCACGAAAGCGUGGGUAUCGAACAGGAUUAGAUACCCCUGUAGUC